rnacentral:lncRNA from 1 species
UUUUGAUGUUAAAUUUGUUUUUUUUUUUUAAAAAAAAAUAAAUUUGAAAACAAUAUUAGAGAAACAGAGAAAAUCAAAAGGAAAGAAACAGGAAGAUACAGAGCAGAAGAAAGAAAUAGGAAGAAACAGAGAAGAGGUAUGGCGGUGGAUCGUUGAGAAGAUUGUAGAUCCGUAGAUUAGGUGAUUUUAGAAGUUGAACUGAUCUGGUAUUUUGGAUUUUGAAAAAAGUGGAUCAAAAUUUAGCCUUAGAAGAAGGAGAAAACAAAGUUGAGUUACAGAAAUAAAAAAAGAAAGCUGGAAAAGAUAAAAUUUAUUUUUGGUUGUCUUUCAAAUAAACUAUUUUCAUAAUAUUUUGAUGCUAACAAAG